AACUGGCUCCUGCCUGUGAGAACAUCCUGUGCCAAGGCACCAUUGUCUAGUUGUGUAGACCACGGUGUGAAACCCAUGCUCCAGAACGGAGGUGAUCAUUGCCUAGGUACAGAUUCCUCAUUUUCUUAAAACAAACAACAACAAAAUAAACAAAAACAAAAAACCCCACAAACUCAAAACAUAAAGGUUCAUGCCUCUAAAGUUCACCAAAAGCCUCAAACCACUCACAUUUUAUUUAUUUCCGUUGUCAACCUAUGAAAACACCAAGGAGUAAGAAGAAUAGUUGCCAACAACACAUACUUUAAACUUUAUGCUUCUAAAUACAGGUAUGCGUACACACACAAAGUAAAACAUCGUUUUUAUUUCUUUUGUUUUCUUUAAGACAGGGCCUCACAUACCCCAAUAGCUCAGGAACUCAGGUAGCUAAAGAUGAUCUGUGACAUCUGAUUCUCCUGGAGUUACAGCUCAUGUACUGAGGUUACAAGUCUGUGUUACCACCAUUGGCUCACACGGUCAUAUUUUAAUUCUUUCAUUGUUGGUUGAUUGAGCUUAUUUGAGAUGUUUACAGCACAAAAAUUUAAGCUAAGGAAAUUUAUGUGAUGCUUUUGGGGACGAGUUGUUUAAAACUCACUUUACAGUGUAGGUUUUAUAUCUCCUUCUGAUCAUAUAUUUUCACAGUAAAUUACUUAACUGAUAGAAUGAAGGGUAGUUAUCUUUUUUUGUGUCCCACUACCCUACAGCCUCAGAAAUCUCAGCAUUAACUACACAUUUUCAAUUUAGAGUAAGAAUUCUAGGAGGCAAUUUGUUAAUGUUAUUGACUUUUAACACUAAAACUUAAGACUGUGAUAGUAUUGUUCAAUUGCCUAUUUUCAGAGAAAAGAACCAGCUUCAAUGACAAAAAGUGCCAAGUAGACAUGACAAGAUGUCAUAAUGCACUGUUGACAAAUGUUUAUCAAGUACUUUAAAUUUUUAUUUUACAAACUAAUCACCUAGCCCAUUAAUUAUAAUAACAUAAGCAGAGUUUCAUUUAAUAGACAUCAUGUAGUGUUAUUUAGUGAAAGUUUAAAUUCAAUGAUGUGAUUACUUGAAGCUUCAGUAUUUUGUACACCUUACAUCACAGUAACUAAACUCCAUUUGUGUAGGCUCCUGACAAAUUUACUUAAAAUACUGAAAGUGUUGGUCAUUGAGCAUCAACAAAAAAAAUUGACUAUUGUGAAAACUAUUUCUAAUUAAUAGAAGUAUUACAUGGCUAAGGAUGUAACUGAGUGCAAAUUCUAAAUUUCAGUCCUGAAAAGAUCUAUUCAAAACUAAGGAGGUGAUUAUAUUCGUGUUGUUUUUACAAAUUAAAUCUUCUACAUUAAUUAGUUUCCCUAGCCAACCACCCCACACCCCGUACCAUCCAUGUUAGCUCUUUAUGAGUUUCAUGAAUCAGGUUCUCCAUCAGGGCAGCACAAGUCCAGAAAAAAGACCUGGAAAACUCCAGAAUUCACAGAAGACUCUAGAAUUCACAGAAUUUACAUUGCUGUGUCUGGUGGCAAUCUAGGUGUGGCUCAUGAUUUCAGCACCUGGGAGCUCUUAUAAGCUGAAAUUCAAGAAGGAGGAGGGAUGAGCUAGGAGUUAGAUUCACAAGCUCCUUCAAUAUUCAAAGAUUAGAGGGGUCAGUCUCAGGAAACUGAGGGCUAGACCUACUUGUCUCAGGAACUUACUUACCAAAAAUCAUUUUGAAAAAAUAUAGCCAAAAUUCAGGUAUUUGGGAAGCCAACACUUCCAUCAAGCAAGGGAACAGCACAAGAAAGACAGGGAAAGCCACAGGAUACCUCCGAUGAGAAUAUUCUUCCCCACUUUCUGGGCACAUCUUAAAUACUGCCUCCAUUGUGAUCAAGGGUAAUAGGAGUCAGAUUUUCUACAAUCCCAUGUGUAGAAGUAUGGCACCCUGUGGAAUAGGAUAAGCUAAUGCAAUCCUAAGAAGCUUAGCGAUAGAACCGUGAAAUAAGAACAAGAAAGGAAAUAAGAAGUCUGCACAGGUAGAAGAGUAUAUGGUCCCUUAGGGAGAAGAAACAAAAAAAUUCCAAACAUAUUGUCUGAUAAAUAGGACAGUAGAGAAUUGGUCUCCAUAAUGAUUAGUGUUCAUCAAAAGGACAUUUUCUCCAGUUUACUCAGUUUAGAUAUAUUCCUUUCACACUUUUUAAACAAACUUGCAAGAGAAAAUUGCUAAAGGGAACCAAUAAUUUUGGCACUCGGAUAUACAUAUUUAGAAAGAAUACCUCCAUUUGGAAUAAAGUGAACACACUACUGUAAUCUUCCAUUUGUAAAUUCAUUCAUAUUAUAAGUGUUGGUUUACAGCUUUUAGAAUAUAUUUUCAUGAUAUGUGCUUGCCACAGCUUAUAAUUAUUUCAAAAUCACUUUCAGGUGUACCUGCUGUAAUUUUGUACAUAAUUAAAUCUAUCUUAAAAUUUCUUAUAUUUUAAUUUUCUUAACUGCAGAAAAUAAAAAUAUAAAACUCUUUCUUAACCAUGGAAAAAUUGUGUACAUUUGACUUUGCUAUGUAAAUUGGAAGAAAUAUAAAUAAAAUGUAGAUUUAUUUUCUUUGUUGC
rnacentral:lncRNA from 1 species